CCAUCUCUUGCAUAUUUGAUCAGAUAGUGACAUCUUUCUGUAUAUAAACUCUUUAACUGCUAUUUUAGGGACCUUGCAGUUUGCACAUAAUUGUUUUAUAUCAUAGCAGUAAAUAUUUGCAAGAAAUCCCACUCAUCGACCCCGGGUAAAAUGUUAUGGUAAGCAUGCACAGUUUGCAGUCUACAGUUUUUUUAUGUAGCACAAAAUAGGUGUACCUUUAUAAGUACAUUCAAUUUUAUGAUUUACAUUUAUCAUGUAAUUUUUAAAAAAAUCCAUCUAUCUAGGAUAUGUUGAUACAAAGUCUGCUUUUGCUAUUCUUUUUGCUUAAAUACUCCUAUCAUUUUCUGAAUUACUUGGUAUUUAGAACUCCUAGCACCACGGGGAAGAAUAGAGGUAUCAUCAAACGUGGCAAAUUUUCUUUCAGGAAUAAUAAAGAGCAUGAUUCCAC
rnacentral:lncRNA from 1 species